CGAGGGACAUGUUGGAGCUGCAGUCAGCAAGCCGCAUGUGCUGUUCUUGGGAUGUGGCUUCAAUAAGCGCCCCUGCUUCCUAGAUCCACCCUCCGCGAUACAGAACAGCCCUAAUUUCUUCCACACCUGAUGGUCGCCAGAGGCGUUUCUCGGGCGGCAGUUGUCUUUAAUGCGGAUUUUUAAAAUCGUUUUGACCAGCGAGCUUCCUGGGCUGUGGGAUGUUCAGACGGAGUGGGUGGCUUUUGUCAGGUGGUAAAUGCCCACAAGAAAAGGAUGUUAUUCGGCUUGAUUCUUACCAGUGCUGUAGAUGUCGGCUCUGCACCUGGAGUGUACAACUUGACACAUCCCUGUGGCUGCCGGCAGCAGUGAUCUGUCAGGACUGAGGUUUUCCAGAGCUUCCUGGGAGUGUGAUCUGAAGUGGCCAUGUCUUCAGGAAAAUCAAACAACUCUCGAACUCCGUCCCUCCUUUGUAAUGAGGAACCUCGAGACUGCUUGAGCUGGAAAGGGGCUGGAUCUUUGGACAUUCAUAACCUUGAUGACCAAUGAACUGCACAAACACUGCACAUGAGUGCUGGUUAAAGGCUGGAACGGUGGUCAAAUGCCAAGUUCAAACCUGUAACUUUGAAGUCUUACUAAGAACAUGGACCAAUGUCUUUGCAUAUGUCUGAUCAUUGUUAAUAGCUAAGCUUUUUUUUUUUUUUUAAAGAGUCCUUUGCAGUUUAUUAACCAGAAUUGCUUCUCGGCCUUUGAGCUAAGAUCAAGUGUUUAAACAAUCAUCAAUAGCUACUGUACAGACCACAUACUAAAUGGAUUUUUGGAAUAACAAAUAGAUGGUUGUAGUGUGGAGGAAUUUGCUCAGUCUUCUCCAAGUAGUAGUGCAGAACUUGAGAUGAGGUUUCAACAGGAAGCAUAUAAUUAGGUUUCAACUAAAGCAAGAUGUCUGACAAACUGAAUGAGCAACAGUGAGUGGAUGGAUGUUUCUCUGGCUAAUGGAAAGCCAGUAAUCUUGUGGCUAUGGGUGGGUUUGUUGUACUUAAUGAGGAGCUCUUUUAAAAAAAACAAAACAAAAACAGCCAAGUUUAGAAAAAAUGAUCAGCUGUAUGUGAUUCUUAGGGGGGAGUUUAGUAACCUUAUAGGUACUGUUCUUGUAAUUUUCUAAUUGAUGGGGUGUUUAUGUCCAUGUUUUCUUGAUCGCUGAGAACAGGUGUGAUUCUGCCUGGUGGGGGGGAAAAAAAUUUCCUCUCUAUCUAAACAACAUAAUCAAUGGGUGGCUUCUGUAUGCUUCAUGUCCUUUUCUAACCAUUACCUUGUGUGUAAAAUAAAAAAAGUUACACGGUUAUAAAGAUCUUAAAUGUCAAGAAUAACUAUGAAUGUAUUUGUUGGCUCAACUCUGCCCUCCCCCAGGAAUGGUUCAGAUGUACAAGUUCUGCUUCACGGUGUAAUGGGGAAUAAAACUGUAACUACUA